CAGUCGCCGCGGGAAUACGUAGGGUGCAAACGUUAAUCGGAAUUACUGGGCGUAAAGCGUGCGUAGGCGGUGAGUUAAGUCUGCUGUGAAAUCCCCGGGCUCAACCUGGGAAUGGCAGUGGAUACUGGCUCGCUAGAGUGUGUCAGAGGAUGGUGGAAUUCCCGGUGUAGCGGUGAAAUGCGUAGAGAUCGGGAGGAACAUCAGUGGCGAAGGCGGCCAUCUGGGACAACACUGACACUGAGGCACGAAAGCGUGGGGAGCAAACAGGAUUAGAUACCCCGGUAGUCCCUGUCUCUUAUAA
rnacentral:rRNA from 1 species